rnacentral:rRNA from 1 species
UACGGGGGGGGUAAGCGUUGUUCGGAAUUACUGGGCGUAAAGGGCUCGUAGGCGGCCAACUAAGUCAGACGUGAAAUCCCUCAGCUUAACUGGGGAACUGCGUCUGAUACUGGAUGGCUUGGAUUCGGGAGAGGAAUGCGGAAUUCCAGGUGUAGCGGUGAAAUGCGUAGAUAUCUGGAGGAACACCGGUGGCGAAGGCGACAUUCUGGACCGACAUUGACGCUGAGGAGCGAAAGCCAGGGGAGCAAACGGG